CAUUAUGCACUAGUUACAUCUUUGGUAAAACCAAUCUCCAAAACGAAGACUUAAUACAUGCUUGUUUUUAUAAAACACACCUAUCUGUAGUUGAAGAAAUGGUGGUGUGCGCUCUCUCUCUCUCUCUCUUAUUGCAGAUAUAUAUUUAUUUAUAUAUUGCAAUAAGCUACAGCAUAUUUCAAAAAGAUUAAUAUGUCACUAAGCCUAUAUUUUUUAAUAAAAUCUUGUAUUUUGUUAAGUCCAUCAUCUGCAACUGAGUGGACUUCAAUUUCCGCAGAACCAAUUAUCUUUUUUGGUUCUAAUUUACUGAUAUUUUUUUCCUGUUGGCAAGUUUCAAGAAUGUAUAUUCCUAGAAACAUUUUGUUCCUCAUCGAAGUAAACUGUUAUCAUGUCUGGGGUGGCCCUUUCAUUUAUAGCAAAUGUUCCUUGUGACUGUCAGCACAUGAUAUGUCAUAAGUAUUAUAUCAUUUUAAAGAUUUAAGGAUGAAAAAUGAACAAUUCACAUAUGAACCAUUGCUGAUAUAUUGUUUAAUCCUCUCCCUCUCUGGUGUCCUUGGCAACAACA
rnacentral:lncRNA from 1 species